rnacentral:rRNA from 1 species
GCUCGGAAGGUUCGCCUCGCCUGCCGGCCGGACGGAGAUCUUUCACGAGACUCCUCCGGUUGCAGGACGGGGCCCGACCGUGUGCACUUUCCGCGGGCAGAGCGCCACGACCGGUUCUCGGGCGGUCAGAAGGCGGCGGGGAUGGUAGGCGUGCGCCUCGGCGCGCGCUGGUAUAGCCCCGCCUGUCCCGAUCCGCUCGGGGACCGAGGAGCCGCCGCCGGCGUUACGGGCCGCCUCGCCCUCCCGGGAUGUUCGACUGGCAGAGACUGGGCAACCGUGUCUGCCGACCGCUUCUCGGGACGGACUGGGGUGGGCCCCGCCGGCACAGGGUCGGUGGCGAAUCGGUCGGCCCUCCACCCGACCCGUCUUGAAACACGGACCAAGGAGUCUAACAUGCGCGCGAGUCGUUGGGUCGUACGAAACCUGAAGGCGAAGUGAAAGCGAGGGCCGGCCUCUGGCCGGCUCAGGUGGGAUCCCUUCACCGUCUCGGUGGGGGGCGCACCACUGGCCCGUCUCGUCCGCGCUGUCGGUGAGGCGGAGCGUGAGCGUGCACGUUGGGACCCGAAAGAUGGUGAACUAUGCCUGAGUAGGACGAAGCCAGAGGAAACUCUGGUGGAGGUCCGCAGCGAUUCUGACGUGCAAAUCGAUCGUCAAACUUGGGUAUAGGGGC